rnacentral:rRNA from 1 species
GAUGAACGCUGGCGGUAUGCUUAACACAUGCAAGUCGAACGGACUCUUCGGAGUUAGUGGCGGACGGGUGAGUAACGCGUGAGAAUCUGGCUUUGGGUUCGGGACAACCACUGGAAACGGUGGCUAAUACCGGAUGUGCCGAGAGGUGAAAGAGAAAUUGCCUGAAGAUGAGCUCGCGUCUGAUUAGCUAGUUGGUGAGGUAAAGGCUCACCAAGGCAGCGAUCAGUAGCUGGUCUGAGAGGAUGACCAGCCACACUGGGACUGAGACACGGCCCAGACUCCUACGGGAGGCAGCAGUGGGGAAUUGUCCGCAAUGGGCGAAAGCCUGACGGAGCAAUACCGCGUGAGGGAAGAAGGCUCUUGGGUUGUAAACCUCUUUUCUUAGGGAAGAACAAAAUGACGGUACCUAAGGAAUCAGCAUCGGCUAACUCCGUG